rnacentral:snRNA from 1 species
GUCCUCAGCGACGGACCGG